rnacentral:lncRNA from 1 species
AUGAUCCCUCCUCCUAAACCCUCCAAGAAGAUGGGAUUACAGGGGAUGAAAACUUGCUCUGGAUUUCAGAGAAUAGGAACACGCAGAACCAGAGAGAGUGUACAGAUGACUCACAAAGCUGACUUUCCAUGUCGGAGGGCAAGGAAAAGCCAAAUGAACUAGAAUUACUUAACCCCAAGAAGAUUGGACAUUUAAUCUAGUAAACACUGGUUUGUAUUUAAAUAUAGUUUAUAUUUAAUAUCAUUUAUGUAAAAAUGGUUUAUAUUUAAAUAUAAACCAUUCCCAGUGGGGUAGGUGCAUUGCAUGGGAAUUAGGAAGAAUUUCUAGGUAAUUAUAUUAGAAACCAAAAAAGGAGUUGAGUGUGUGGGUACUGCUGAAGGAUAUUAUAUUAUAAUUUGUUGAAAUGUGAAGAGCAGAUACCCUGACCAAUAAGACGAGGGCUUAUCCUCUCUUGAUGGUGCUGAAGCAUUGACUGUUACCCAUACGUCAUCAACAUUGAGUAAAUGCCCACACGUGCUGGGGCGAUUUCCAGGCAGAAAGGGUACCUCACAGCUAAUAAGAACAUUUACUGUUUGUUCAUAAGAUCCUCAAAGAGAGAGAAAUAACGUGUGUUUUUAAUUUCAUUAUCAUAUCCCUUGUAGGAGGGUGUAGAUCAUAGGACUCCUGAGGUAAAAAUACCCUCCCCCCCCCCCCGUUUUUUUGUAACAUUUGCUCCAUGUUUAAAGAACUGGUAGUUCUGAAAGCACUUUUUCUCUUUUUUCUUGAGACAGGGUCUCAUACUGUCAUCCAGGCUGGAGUGUAGUAGCUCAAUCUUGGCUCACUGCAGCCUCGACCUCCUGGGCUCAAGCAAUUCUUCCACUUCAGCCUCCUGAGUAGCUGGGACUACAGACAUGCACCACCAUGCCCAGAUAAUUUUUGUAUUUUUUUUGUAGAGACAGGGUUUCGCCAUGUUGCCCAGGCUGGUCACCAACUCCUAGGCUCAAGCUAUCCUUCUGUCUUAGCCUUCCAAAGUGCUGGGAAUAAAGGGGUUAGCCACUGUGCCCAGCCUGAAAGUACUAUUUACUGAUCUGUUUGUGUGUGUAAAGUGAGGUUCCCUCUGAGAACCAGAAACUGUCUCACAGUACUUGUGUCUGAGAAGGAACUCUCUGGAGACUGGAGGCAGCAAGUCUGCCCACUACCGGAAGGACUAGCCAGUUACUGAGUCAAAUGAAGGUCUCAGUUGUCUCACGUUUACCUUUGAAGGGUGGCAGAAUGUGCUGCCCCAAAUAAGCCAGUUUGGCAGAAGGAUUAUUUUGCACUUAAGGCGCUUGGAAAACAGCAGGUGCAAGAAGGGCUUUCUGACCUCCCU